ensembl:snRNA U6 U6 spliceosomal RNA
GUGCUUGCUUUGGCAGCACAUAUACUAAAAUUGGAACGAUACAGAGAAGAUUAGCAUGGCCCCUGUGCAAGGAUGACAUGCAAAUUCAUGAAGUGUUCCAUAUUUUU